GAUGAAGUACGCAGCGAAAUGCGAUAAGUAAUGUGAAUUGCAGAAUUCAGUGAAUCAUCGAAUCUUUGAACGCACAUUGCGCCCGCCAGUAUUCUGGCGGGCAUGCCUGUUCGAGCGUCAUUACAACCCUCAGGCCCCCGGGCCUGGCGUUGGGGAUCGGCGGAGCCCCCCGUGGGCACACGCCGUCCCCCAAAUGCAGUGGCGGUCCCGCCGCAGCUUCCAUCGCGUAGUAGCUAACACCUCGCGACUGGAGAGCGGCGCGGCCACGCCGUAAAACACCCAACUCUUCUGAAGUUGACCUCGAAUCAGGUAGGAAUACCCGCUGAACUUAAGCAUAUCAAUAAGCGGAGGA
rnacentral:misc_RNA from 1 species